UGGGGAAUUUUGGACAAUGGGCGAAAGCCUGAUCCAGCAAUGCCGCGUGUGUGAAGAAGGCCUUCGGGUUGUAAAGCACUUUUGUCCGGAAAGAAAUCCUUGGCUCUAAUACAGUCGGGGGGAUGACGGUACCGGAAGAAUAAGCACCGGCUAACUACGUGCCAGCAGCCGCGGUAAUACGUAGGGUGCAAGCGUUAAUCGGAAUUACUGGGCGUAAAGCGUGCGCAGGCGGUUUGCUAAGACCGAUGUGAAAUCCCCGGGCUCAACCUGGGAACUGCAUUGGUGACUGGCAGGCUAGAGUAUGGCAGAGGGGGGUAGAAUUCCACGUGUAGCAGUGAAAUGCGUAGAGAUGUGGAGGAAUACCGAUGGCGAAGGCAGCCCCCCUGGGCCAAUACUGACGCUCAUGCACGAAAGCGUGGGGGAGCAAAACAGGAUUAGAUACCCUGGUAGUCCCACGCCCUAAAACGAUGUCAACUA
rnacentral:rRNA from 1 species